ACACAUGCAGUCGAGCGGUAACAGGUCCAGCUUGCUGGAUGCUGACGAGCGGCGGACGGGUGAGUAAUGCAUAGGAAUCUGCCCGAUAGUGGGGGAUAACCUGGGGAAACCCAGGCUAAUACCGCAUACGUCCUACGGGAGAAAGGGGGCUCCGGCUCCCGCUAUGGGAUGAGCCUAUGUCGGAUUAGCUAGUUGGUGAGGUAACGGCUCACCAAGGCCACGAUCCGUAGCUGGUCUGAGAGGAUGAUCAGCCACAUCGGGACUGAGACACGGCCCGAACUCCUACGGGAGGCAGCAGUGGGGAAUAUUGGACAAUGGGGGAAACCCUGAUCCAGCCAUGCCGCGUGUGUGAAGAAGGCCCUCGGGUUGUAAAGCACUUUCAGCGAGGAAGAACGCCUAGCGGUUAAUACCCGCUAGGAAAGACAUCACUCGCAGAAGAAGCACCGGCUAACUCCGUGCCAGCAGCCGCGGUAAUACGGAGGGUGCAAGCGUUAAUCGGAAUUACUGGGCGUAAAGCGCGCGUAGGUGGCUUGAUAAGCCGGUUGUGAAAGCCCCGGGCUCAACCUGGGAACGGCAUCCGGAACUGUCAAGCUAGAGUGCAGGAGAGGAAGGUAGAAUUCCCGGUGUAGCGGUGAAAUGCGUAGAGAUCGGGAGGAAUACCAGUGGCGAAGGCGGCCUUCUGGACUGACACUGACACUGAGGUGCGAAAGCGUGGGUAGCAAACAGGAUUAGAUACCCUGGUAGUCCACGCCGUAAACGAUGUCGACCAGCCGUUGGGUGCCUAGCGCACUUUGUGGCGAAGUUAACGCGAUAAGUCGACCGCCUGGGGAGUACGGCCGCAAGGUUAAAACUCAAAUGAAUUGACGGGGCCCGCACAAGCGGUGGAGCAUGUGGUUUAAUUCGAUGCAACGC
rnacentral:rRNA from 1 species